rnacentral:rRNA from 1 species
GACGUAGGGCGCGAGCGUUGUCCGGAUUUAUUGGGCGUAAAGAGCUCGUAGGCGGUUUGUCGCGUCGUUCGUGAAAACUCACAGCUUAACUGUGAGCUUGCGGUCGAUACGGGCAGGCUAGAGUUCGGUAGGGGAGACUGGAAUUCCUGGUGUAGCGGUGAAAUGCGCAGAUAUCAGGAGGAACACCGGUGGCGAAGGCGGGUCUCUGGGCCGAUACUGACGCUGAGGAGCGAAAGCGCGGGGAGCGAACAGG